rnacentral:tRNA from 1 species
AGUAGAGUGGUGCAGUGGAAGCAUGUUGGGCCCAUAAUCCAGGGGUCGAUGGAUUGAAACCAUUUUCUGCUA